UUUCAGGUUUCAAAGACUUAUUUUCUUUAUACCUAAUACAUGUACUUUGCAACAUUAACUGAUAAGGUCUUUUUGAAGCAUUUUAUUUAAGUUUCAUUUCUACAAACUUUCGAUUCAGAGAUAUGCAUAUUGCUAGGGACACAUCCAGUUUUGACAUUCAUUGCAAAUGCAAUAUCCAUUGCAUCGCUUUGAGCAUUUUCUUGAAUUUUGAUAUGACAUCACCAAACCUUUUGUGAAUUUGUCGUUAACUUACCCCUUGCUUGUUGUAAGAGGCGAAUAAAUGGGGCGGUCCUUCAGAUAGGACUGCAAAAACUGAGAUCCUUGUCACAGCAGGUUUGGCACGAUAAAGAUCCCUCAGUGCCAUACGCGCUGAGCAUAGGCCUAAAUUUUGCAGCCCUUCACCGGCAAUGGUAACGUCUUCAUGUGAGUGAAAUAUUCUCAAGAGAGACUUCAGUCAAUAUAUAGGCUAAUCAAACAAUCAAUCAUAUGCUAUCAAUGUUCUCUAAAUAGUGGCAUCGAAUAGCGCUUCAAAAGUUUCAUCGGCUUCCAGUUCGAUUCCAGUAUAAGGAACAACUUCCAAUCCAGUGUUAUGAAGUAUCGUACAUAUUAAGAUAGCCAUCAUGAAUAACUUAACCGUAUUACACUGUUAGGAAAUUUCUCGAGAGCCCGCGCUUCUGUCAUUUGUCAGCAUAUACAUCAAGGUUAUUUGUGCGCUUGUUGUAAAAACUAAAAAAAAUAUUUACGGAUAUUUUUGAACACGCGGGCGGAUAUUAUUUUUUGAUAAUAUUAUAAUUUGGAUUUGUUACAAAUAGAAGCGGCGAAUCCGACGAACUAGAUUUACAAAUUGGCAUGGCCUAA